CGGCUUUGGUCCUGAUAACGCUUCCUGUCAUCUUUCGAACUACGUCCGAGAUCAUCUACCAGUACUCCAUCAUCGAGGCUAGCGGGCUGCCAAGCUGACCAAACUGGCCCUGAAAGCAGCCGUUAGUGAAGAAAUAACAUCAAAAUAGUAAACAAAGAAAAAUCUACUCACCAAAACCAAGAUGGCGGCCUCCAUUCGGCGUCCUCUACUACCAGUUCCUGACCCACGGCAGAAAAUAUUUAAACGCUCAUCAA
rnacentral:lncRNA from 1 species